rnacentral:rRNA from 1 species
AAGAAGCACCGGCUAACUCUGUGCCAGCAGCCGCGGUAAUACAGAGGGUGCAAGCGUUGUUCGGAAUUAUUGGGCGUAAAGCGCGUGUAGGCGGCUUUGCAAGUCGGGUGUGAAAGCCCUCGGCUCAACCGAGGAAGUGCGCCCGAAACUGCAGAGCUUGAGUACCGGAGAGGAUGGCGGAAUUCCCCAAGUAGAGGUGAAAUUCGUAGAUAUGGGGAGGAACACCGGUGGCGAAGGCGGCCAUCUGGACGGAUACUGACGCUGAGACGCGAAAGCGUGGGGAGCAAGCAGGAUUAGAUACCCUGGUAGUCCACGCCGUAAACGAUGAGAACUAGGUGUCGUGGGUGUUGACCCCCGCGGUGCCGUAGCCAACGCA